UGCUGCUGAUAUGAUUGUCAAUAGUUGUGCUGUAUUGGAUUUUUGGAUAUUGCAUCAAUCAGCAGCUAGAGAGACCCAUGUACUCGAUCUGUUAUGCAGUUUGAACUCAUUUAGAACCUUAGCACAAAGAGGGAAGGCUGAAGUUUCUUUUUCUUCACGGUGGGAUCUCGUAAUUAGAAAUGUCUAGACAAAUGAUGGAGUGGAAAUGAGAGGGAGAAGAUGCAGACGGCAAACUGGGCUAACCUUUCACCUACUUAGGACGGACCAUGAUGUCGAUCCUAACACAAUCUUUACAUUGGUAAGCAGUCCCUGUCCAGUUCAAGUAAAGAGGGCAAGGUAGGGUGCCUUUUUCUGAUUUCUUUUUUGUUUCACUCAGCUGAGGACAUCUUGCUGUUUAAGGACAAAAAAUGCUGGUGACAAUUGGGCGCACCUGACAUCGCGACGACCUUAAAAAAUUUAAUGAAAAGAACAAGUUUCUGACAUCUUGUUUUUUUAUGGGAAAAAAGUAUUGUUUAAGGAGUCGCCACCUAAUAUUAUGGUCACUAGAAAUUCUAACUAGUCAACAGAGAUUCUAUGGUACGAGUCUGGUUACGCAAAAGUAAAGAUAUUAUCACCCUUGAAGCGUCUUGCCUGAGGUAGAUUGUAUUGUUGGAUUUGUUUUAAAUUGUUAGAAGCUUGUUGGCUUAUGCUAUGAUGGUCUACUUGUAAUAUUCUUGACUCAGACAUCAGUGAAUAUUCAACUACGGAUAUUUUCAA